rnacentral:rRNA from 1 species
AGAGUUUGAUCCUGGCUCAGGACGAACGCUGGCGGCGUGCUUAACACAUGCAAGUCGAACGAUGAAGCCCUUCGGGGUGGAUUAGUGGCGAACGGGUGAGUAACACGUGGGCAAUCUGCCCUUCACUCUGGGACAAGCCCUGGAAACGGGGUCUAAUACCGGAUAACACUCCUGCCUGCAUGGGCGGGGGUUAAAAGCUCCGGCGGUGAAGGAUGAGCCCGCGGCCUAUCAGCUUGUUGGUGAGGUAGUGGCUCACCAAGGCGACGACGGGUAGCCGGCCUGAGAGGGCGACCGGCCACACUGGGACUGAGACACGGCCCAGACUCCUACGGGGGGCAGCAGUGGGGAAUAUUGCACAAUGGGCGAAAGCCUGAUGCAGCGACGCCGCGUGAGGGAUGACGGCCUUCGGGUUGUAAACCUCUUUCAGCAGGGAAGAAGCGAAAGUGACGGUACCUGCAGAAGAAGCGCCGGCUAACUACGUGCCAGCAGCCGCGGUAAUACGUAGGGCGCAAGCGUUGUCCGGAAUUAUUGGGCGUAAAGAGCUCGUAGGCGGCUUGUCACGUCGGGUGUGAAAGCCCGGGGCUUAACCCCGGGUCUGCAUUCGAUACGGGCUAGCUAGAGUGUGGUAGGGGAGAUCGGAAUUCCUGGUGUAGCGGUGAAAUGCGCAGAUAUCAGGAGUAACACCGGUGGCGAAGGCGGAUCUCUGGGCCAUUACUGACGCUGAGGAGCGAAAGCGUGGGGAGCGAACAGGAUUAGAUACCCUGGUAGUCCACGCCGUAAACGGUGGGAACUAGGUGUUGGCGACAUUCCACGUCGUCGGUGCCGCAGCUAACGCAUUAAGUUCCCCGCCUGGGGAGUACGGCCGCAAGGCUAAAACUCAAAGGAAUUGACGG